CUUGGUCAUUUAGAGGAAGUAAAAGUCGUAACAAGGUUUCCGUAGGUGAACCUGCGGAAGGAUCAUUCAUAAUAAGUGUUUUAUGGCACUUUUUAAAUCCAUAUCCACCUUGUGUGCAAUGUCAGUCGAUCUUCUUCAUGGAGAUCGACCAAACAUCAACCUUUAUUUUUUAACUCUUUGUCUGAAAAAUAUUAUGAAUAAACAAUUCAAAAUACAACAUUCAACAACGGAUCUCUUGGCUCUCGCAUCGAUGAAGAACGCAGCGAAAUGCGAUACGUAAUGUGAAUUGCAGAAUUCAGUGAAUCAUCGAAUCUUUGAACGCAUAUUGCGCUCUUUGGUAUUCCGAAGAGCAUGCUUGUUUGAGUAUCAGUAAACACCUCAAAGCUUUUGGACUUUUUAAUCGAAAAGCUUUGGACUUGAGCAAUCCCAACACCAAUCUUUUUGAGAUCGGUGGCGGGUUGCUUGAAAUGCAGGUGCAGCUGGACAUUCUCCUGAGCUAAAAGCAUAUUCAUUUAGUCCCGUCAAACGGAUUAUUACUUUUGCUGCAGCUAACAUAAAGGGAGUUUGACCGUAUUGGCUGACUGAUGCAGGAUUUCACAAGGGUCGGCAACGAUUCUUGUUAAACUCGAUCUCAAAUCAAGUAAGACUACCCGCUGAACUUAAGCAUAUCAAUAAGCGGAGGA
rnacentral:rRNA from 1 species